UUAAGCUAUAAAGAGCAUAGGGUGGAUGCCUAGGCACUGAGAGCCGACGAAAGACGUGAUAAGCUGCGAUAAGCUGCGGUAAGGAGCAAAUAUCCAUUGACCCGCAGAUUUCUGAAUGGGGAAACCUACGCAAGAAGACCUUGCGUACUCAUACAUGAAUACAUAGUGUAUGAGAGGGAACCCGGGGAACUGAAACAUCUAAGUACCCGGAGGAAGAGAAAGAAACAUCGAUUUCCUGAGUAGCGGCGAGCGAAAGGGAAAGAGCCCAAACCAGAGGAUUUAUCCUUUGGGGUUAGGACUGCAUAAUUGAUCUGCAAUUGAUAGGAGAACGGUCUGGGAAGUCCGGCGAGAAAGCGUGAAAGCCGCGUAUCCGAAAUCGAAAGCAGCAAGGCAGGAUCCAGAGUACCACGAGACACGAGAAACCUUGUGGGAAUGAGCGGAGACCACUCCGUAAGGCUAAAUACUACUCAGUGACCGAUAGCGCAUAGUACUGUGAAGGAAAGGUGAAAAGGACCCCGGGAGGGGAGUGAAAGAGAACCUGAAACCCUGUGUUUACAAGCUGUCGAAGCACGCAAGUGCGACGGCGUACUUUUUGUAGAACGGUCCGGCGAGUUAUGAUGAGUGGUAAGGUUAAGGACUUAAGGUCCGGAGCCGAAGCGAAAGCGAGUGUUAAAAGCACGGUUGAAUCGCUUAUCAUAGACCCGAAACCGGGUGAUCUAUCCAUGUCCAGGUUGAAGCUGCCGUAAGAGGUAGUGGAGGACCGAACACACAUCCGUUGAAAAGGGUGGUGAUGAGGUGUGGAUAGGGGAGAAAUUCCAAUCGAACCCGGAGAUAGCUGGUUCUCCUCGAAAUAGCUUUAGGGCUAGCCUCUGGUUAGUCUGCCGCAGGUAGAGCACUGAAUUUCCUAGGGGGCGUCAAAGCCUACCGAAGAAUAUCAAACUGCGAAUGGCGGACAGAUGAUGCCAGGGAGUCAGACUGCACGAGAUAAGUUGGGUGGUCAAAAGGGAAAGAGCCCAGACCUACAGCUAAGGUCCCAAAGUGUGUGUUAAGUGGAAAAGGAUGUGGGAUUUCGAAGACAACUAGGAUGUUGGCUCAGAAGCAGCCACACAUUAAAAGAGUGCGUAAUAGCUCACUAGUCGAGAGGUCCUGCGCCGAAAAUGUCCGGGGCUAAAACACAACACCGAAGCUUAGGAAUUCUAAUGAAUUGGUAGAGGAGCAUUGAAGACGGAACGAAGCCAUACCGGAAGGAAUGGUGGACUGUCUUGAAGAGAGAAUGCCGGAAUGAGUAGCGAGAUUGAAGUGAGAAUCUUCAAGGCCGAAUAUCUAAGGUUUCCAGGGUAAAGCUGAUCUGCCCUGGGUAAGUCGGGGCCUAAGGCAAGGUCGAAAGACGUAGUCGAUGGAUAACAGGUUGAAAUUCCUGUACUGCAUCAAAUCAGAAAUGUGGGGACACAUGAGGGAAGCAUGAGCCGGAAAAGGAAAGUCCGGUACAAGCGCAGCAGAGGACAGAUAGGCAAAUCCGUCUGUCAACUCGAGGGCGCGAUGUGGAGCGAACCAAAGUAGCGAAGCAUGUGGAGCUUGUGUCGAGAAAAGCCGCUAUUGUGUUUGAUGUACCCGUACCGUAAACCGACACAGGUGGAUGAGGAGAGAAUCCUAAGGCCGGCGGGAGAAGCAUUGUUAAGGAACUCGGCAAAAUGACCCCGUAACUUCGGGAGAAGGGGUGCUCCAGAGAUGGAGCCGCAGAGAACUGGCCCAAGCAACUGUUUAGCAAAAACACAGGUCUAUGCAAAACCGAAAGGUGAGGUAUAUGGGCUGACGCCUGCCCGGUGCUGGAAGGUUAAGAGGAGAUGUUAGCCGCAAGGUGAAGCAUUGAAUUUAAGCCCCAGUAAACGGCGGCCGUAACUAUAACGGUCCUAAGGUAGCGAAAUUCCUUGUCGGGUAAGUUC
rnacentral:rRNA from 1 species